rnacentral:lncRNA from 1 species
CUUUGCUCUUCCAUCACAGAUUAUGGCUUCUUUACACCUUGUCUGUUGGAGCUACAAACCCAAGAGGAGCUUUCCCUCUCUCCCUGCCUCUCUCUUUUAAAUUAGGUACUCAGUCCAAUCGAGUCUUCAAAGAAUAAGUUUUAAAGUUAUGACAACGAUGAACCCUACUUAUUUUUCUCCAUAAGCUUCUUGAAGUCAGGGUAGCAGAGGUGGGAUACAGGGAUAUGGAUAUGGGACACAGGGAGGAGGCUUUCUUUUCCUUUUCUUUCAAUGGGAGAAUCAAUGCAAGUUCUGCGUACAGUUUCUCUGCGUUUCAAAGUGUGCAGAUAGAAAGAAUGAUAUGCUCGGUGGAGGUGCUGAUGGAAUAUAGAUAUAUAUGUGCAUGAAAAAUUAAAAAGCAACUGUGGAAUGCCUUUCCAGAGCUGCUGCAGUGACGGCUAUAGUUUGACAUACAAGUGGAUUCAUUACCACGAUUACAAACAAAAGUUACACACACCAUUUGUACUUAUGCAACACACUGCUCCGCCAAAUCCUCGGGACUACAGCGGCAUUUUAAACUACUGUUUGUUGUUGUUGUUUUUUGGUCUUGCCUGAAAAUUGCUAAUAUUCAUCUCCGAGCCUGUAACUUUUUAAGUAUUAGGUCCGGCGUUAAGCUGACCGCACGUUUCAGGGGACAGGGUGCUUCUUGCAUGGCAGGCACCCCUUGGUGGGACCGCCGAGCGAUCGAGGGCACUUCCCGAGUCCCGGGGGCACGGAGAGGGGCUGCCGCUGCCUCCUCGCACAGGGGCUCUCGGUAAGCAGCACCCACCGGCCGAGUGACACCGCGAUGGAGGCAGGAGUGCGCGGCACCGGCGCUGGGGAUGGCAGGAGGUAACCUACACAUGGCUCUCGGCGAAGCUCCGUGGGAGGACGGUUCCCGGCGGGGAUGGGAACGGGGUCUCGCUGCGCGCCCCCCCCCCUUAUCCCCGGGAGCCCGCCGCCCCCCAAACCCCCUCCCAGCUCCCAGGAGCGGGGCGGGGGGCGCGGCGCUGCCUGACGCCGGCUUGGUCGGGGGCGGGACCGCCGGGACCGCGCUGCUCCCUCCCGCCCGCCCCCGUCCCCAUCGCCGUCCCCGUCCCCGCCGCCGGGUCCCGGGCCCCAUCUCCGCCCCCGCGCUGUCCCCGCCGGGCCCGGCGCUGCGGGGACCGCCCCGGCCGCGGCAUGGCCGGCGCGCUGGGCAGGGGGGCGGCGGGCUGGCGGCUGCGGAGCGCGGCGGGCGGCAGGAAGGAGAAGCCGCCGGGCGGCAAGCCCCAGCCGCCACCGCACGGAAGGGAUCAAUCUGA